rnacentral:rRNA from 1 species
UCGUUCCGUGAGAUGUUGGAUUAAGUCCCGCAACGAGCGCAACCNUGUUUCCUGUUGCCAUCGGGUAAUGCCGGGCACUCUGGAGAGACUGCCGGUGACAAACCGGAGGAAGGUGGGGAUGACGUCAAGUCAGCAUGGCCUUUAUGUCCAGGGCUACACACGUGCUACAAUGGCCGGUACAAACCGUCGCGAGCCCGCGAGGGGGAGCUAAUCGGAAAAAGCCGGUCUCAGUUCGGAUUGUAGGCUGCAACUCGCCUGCAUGAAGUCGGAAUCGCUAGUAAUCGCGGAUCAGCAUGCCGCGGUGAAUACGUUCCCGGGCCUUGUACACACCGCCCGUCACAUCACGAAAGCUGGCUGUACUAGAAAUCGCCGCGUUAACCCGCAAGGGGGACAAGCGCUUAAGGUAUGGUCAGUGAUUGGGGUGAAGUCGUAACAAGGUAGCNAGUAGGAGGACCUGUGGCUGGAUCACCUCUUAAAUCUAAGUCAUUCGCGAGUACCGGCUGAUUC